GACGAAGGGGGCUAGCGUUGUUCGGAAUUACUGGGCGUAAAGCGCGCGUAGGCGGCUUUUCAAGUCAGAAGUGAAAGCCCCGGGCUCAACCCGGGAAUAGCUUUUGAUACUGUUGAGCUCGAGUCCGGGAGAGGAUAGUGGAAUUCCCAGUGUAGAGGUGAAAUUCGUAGAUAUUGGGAAGAACACCAGUGGCGAAGGCGGCUCACUGGACCGGUACUGACGCUGAUGCGCGAAAGCGUGGGGAGCAAACGGG
rnacentral:rRNA from 1 species